UUCACUGUCUCCUUCCCAAAGGGGAAGAGCCCCCCCAGGAUGAAAUCCCCAUUCCUGCUGAACUGGGCUGAGAGGCAGGAGGGGCUCAGGGAGGCAGCACAGCCAAAGCUCAGGCACAGCCACAGCCCCUUCAUUGUGGGGGAAAGGAGAGCAGGGAAUCCAGCUCAGCCCUCUAAAUACAGCUCAGAGGGGAGCAAUUUGUUUAGUAAAAUGCAUUAAAUUCAUUUAGUGGGCAAUAAUCAAAUACCCCCUGAGGGCACUUGGGUGCAAACCUCAUCCUGAUUUCCUUUACUCAGUGAUUAAAGAUUGAUUUUACAAAUAAUUGUAAAAAUAAAAUAUAAAUAACAUCAUUAUUGACAUCACUGAUUUACAAAUUCAUUGUCACAGCUGUGGAAAUUUGGGCUCCUCUGGUGAUAAAAACUCAGGUGUCUCACUCUGAUUCUGGUAAAACACACAACAGUCAUUUUUAUUUAUUUAUUUUUUAAAAUUUGAGGUCACCUCAUGAUGGAAAUAACCAAAUCUUGCUCAGGGCAAGGCAGGAAUUUGCCUGGAGAAGCCAUUCCUGGCUCACAGUUUGCUGAGCUCCCACCCAGCUGUACUGAUCAUUUUUUUGGAAGUUGUUACUGGCUGAUCUAUUUUUUUUCUCCUCACAGAGCUGAGACAUUAAUUUCACUUAAAAAAACUUAAAUCCAAGUUCACAGCAUGGCAAUUUAGGUUUCAUGACUGUAUUUUUUUUUCUGUCCAGGGCUGGAUUUUAGGACAGCUCUGAAUAAAAAAUUCAAUUUCCUGCAUUUUCUACUUUAUCAGAAAACUGAUACAGAGCCCUAAACACAGGAAUUCUUCAGGGAAGCACCAGUUACAGCUGAGAUUUCCAGGUAUGUUCAUACUGACAUUUUUUAAAUGAUCCUUUACUGGAUUAUUUAAGAGUCAGCUUUAACUAUAAAACUUAUUUUUUAAAGUUCCUUUUCAAUAUUAAUAUUUAUCUCCUAAGAGGAAUAGUUAGAACGAGUGUGACAAGGGAAAAAAAAAUAUUUUUUUUGUGCUCAUACCAUCAUUUUAAUAGAUUUAAACCCAUUUUUUUUUCCUUGGCACACAUCAUUUAAUUUAAUUUCAAGCAUUUCAUUCACUGCAAAGUGAAAUGAAACAGAUUUUUUCAGGGAGUGAAAAUCUGAGUUCAUCAGUGUAAAUCCCACAAAGGAAACUCCUCCAAACCUCAUCAUUCACACAAUUUAAUGUCCAUGACUCCAUCUCCAUGAGGUAAUUGUGAUUCCCUGAAUUUUUCAGGGUUACAUUAGGCCAAAAAGAAACAAUCAGCCUGUCAGAGCCUGUAGCAUCCCCCUGUGUCCCUCCCUGUCACCCAGCCCCCCAAAAUCUCCCCCAAAAUCUCACCCAACCCCUCUGACAUCCCCUGGCUCUGCCAGAGCCUCACAAAACAGUGAUUUACAGUACAAGUGUGGAUUUCCCUCCCAGAGGGGCAGAAAAAUCCUUUUUGUAGGCAUUUGACACAUUCUUUAAAAAAAAAUAAAAUAAAUAAACACACAAGACACAAUUUGGAAACAAACAGCUCCAGGCUGGGCUGGACAGAGGGGAUUGUGCAGCACAAAUUCCAAAGUGCUGCACAAAUCCCAAGUGCAAAUUUGAGGAUGCUCUGGCUGCUCCAGGAACAUUUUCUCUUCCUUCAGCACCUUGAGGAGGCUGUGCCAGGGAAAGGAGAUUUUUUUUUUCCUCCCAAUGCAUUCCUCAGGAUUCAAUUCUCCAGGUGAAACCCCCCAGGUGGGAUUUUUGUACAAACCAAAGUGACCAGGUGAGCUCCUAUAAAUAUAGAAAUGUGUCCAGACACCACAGAGCCUUUUAAACAACAAAAAACAAAUAAUAAAUCCCUUAGCAGCUCAUCCUAAACCAGACUUUUUUUUUUUUUUGUAAUCAUAGAGCUCUAUACACAAAGUAUCAGAUACAAAAAAAAACCAAAACAACAUUUAUAAAGUGAAGCAUCCUGAAUAGUUUGGCUGAACUCCUCAGCUCCAGGCUGAAAAUAAUGAUGGGAGAAGGCAGAGAGCUGUGCUUGUGCAGAAAUGGGAUUGUCAGGGCAGGCUGAGCUCCUGAGUGAUGCUGUUAAGAGCUCCCACAAUACAGAAAUGUGUUCAGGCACCACAGCUCAAAUUUGUGCUGCCACAACUAUUGCUGUAAAUGCACAGAAGUUUGGCAUGAUAAAAAAAACAUUUCAACCAAAAAAAAAAAAAAAAGAAAAAAAAAAAAGAAAAAAAAAUCCUUAGCAGCUCAUCUUAUGUGAAUAGAGCUCUACACAGAGAGUAUCAGAUGUAAAAAAAAAAACCAAAACAACAGUCCACAUUUAUAAAGUGAAGCAUCCUGAAUAGUCUGGCCAAACUCCUCAGCUCCAGGCUGAAAAUAAUGAUGGCAGAAGGCAGAGAGCUGUGCUUGUGCAGAAAUGGGAUUGUCAGGGCAGGCUGAGCUCCUGAGUGAUGCUGUAAAGAGUUGUUUUUUUUUUUCCCCCAGUGCAUUCAGUUCUCCAGGUGGGAUUUUGUACAACCCAAAGUGGCCAGGUGAGCUCCCACAAUACAGAAAUGUGUUCAGGCACCACAGCUCAAAUUUGUGCUGCCACAACUAUUGCUGUAAAUGCACAGAAGUUUGCCUUGAUAAAAAAAACAUUUCAACCAAAAAAAAAAAAAAAAAAAAAAAAAAAAAAAUUCCUUAGCAGCUCAUCUUAUGUGAAUAGAGCUCUACACAGAGAGUAUCAGAUGUAAAAAAAAACCAAAACAACCGGUCCACGUUUAUAAAGUGAAGCAUCCUGAAUAGUCUGGCCAAACUCCUCAGCUCCAGGCUGAACAUAACAAGGGAGGCAGAAGGCAGAGAGCUGU